UGGCAACAAUAUGAGGCGGGCUGGACCUCUCGGGGUUACAGCCUUGCUGAAUUAUUCACCCUUGUCUUUUGCGUACUUCUUGUUUCCUUGGUGGGUUCGCCCACCACUAGGACAAACAUAAACCUUUUGUAAUUGCAAUCAGCGUCAGUAACAAAUUAAUAAUUACAACUUUCAACAACGGAUCUCUUGGUUCUGGCAUCGAUGAAGAACGCAGCGAAAUGCGAUAAGUAGUGUGAAUUGCAGAAUUCAGUGAAUCAUCGAAUCUUUGAACGCACAUUGCGCCCUUUGGUAUUCCAAAGGGCAUGCCUGUUCGAGCGUCAUUUGUACCCUCAAGCUUUGCUUGGUGUUGGGCGUCUUGUCUCUAGCUUUGCUGGAGACUCGCCUUAAAGUAAUUGGCAGCCGGCCUACUGGUUUCGGAGCGCAGCACAAGUCGCACUCUCUAUCAGCAAAGGUCUAGCAUCCAUUAAGCCUUUUUUUCAACUUUUGACCUCGGAUCAGGUAGGGAUACCCGCUGAACUUAAGCAUAUCAAAAGCCCGGAGGAAA
rnacentral:rRNA from 1 species